GACGAACGCUGGCGGCGUGCUUAACACAUGCAAGUCACGGGGGCCCGCAAGGGUAACCGGCGAACGGGUGCGUAACACGUGAGCAAUCUGCCGUACACUGGGGGAUAGCCGGCCCAACGGCCGGGUAAUACCGCAUACGUUCUUCGGGCGGCAUCGCUUGAAGAAGAAACCUCCGGGGGUGUACGAGGAGCUCGCGGCCUAUCAGGUAGUUGGUGGGGUCACGGCCUACCAAGCCAUUGACGGGUAGCUGGUCUGAGAGGAUGGCCAGCCACAUUGGGACUGGGAUACGGCCCAGACUCCUACGGGAGGCAGCAGUGGGGAAUACUGCGCAAUGGCCGCAAGGCUGACGCAGCGACGCCGCGUGGGGGAUGAAGCAUUUCGGUGUGUAAACCCCUGUUGCUCGGGACGAACAACGAGUUUCGACUCGUCUGACGGUACCGGGUGAGGAAGCACCGGCUAACUCCGUGCCAGCCGCCGCUGUAAAAC
rnacentral:rRNA from 1 species